rnacentral:rRNA from 1 species
AUUGAACGCUGGCGGCAGGCUUAACACAUGCAAGUCGAGCGGAAACGAGGAGUACUUGUACUUUGGCGUCGAGCGGCGGACGGUGAGUAAUGCUUGGGAAUAUGCCUUAAGGUGGGGGACAACAGUUGGAAACGACUGCUAAUACCGCAUAAUGUCUACGGACCAAAGGAGGGGAUUCUUCGGAACCUUUCGCCUUUAGAUUAGCCCAAGUGAGAUUAGCUAGUUGGUUGGGUAAAGGCCUACCAAGGCGACGAUCUCUAGCUGGUUUGAGAGGAUGAUCAGCCACACUGGGACUGAGACACGGCCCAG